CACGGACUUCGGUCUGGUGGCGAGUGGCGAACGGGUGAGUAACGCAUCGGAACGUACCCAGUAGCGGGGGAUAACUACGCGAAAGCGUAGCUAAUACCGCAUACGCCCUACGGGGGAAAGGGGGGGAUCGCAAGACCUCUCACUAUUGGAGCGGCCGAUGUCGGAUUAGCUAGUUGGUGGGGUAAAAGCUCACCAAGGCGACGAUCCGUAGCUGGUUUGAGAGGACGACCAGCCACACUGGGACUGAGACACGGCCCAGACUCCUACGGGAGGCAGCAGUGGGGAAUUUUGGACAAUGAGGGAAACCCUGAUCCAGCCAUGCCGCGUGUGCGAAGAAGGCCUUCGGGUUGUAAAGCACUUUUGGCGGGAAAGAAACGGCACCGGAUAAUACCUGGUGUAACUGACGGUACCCGCAGAAUAAGCACCGGCUAACUACGUGCCAGCAGCCGCGGUAAUACUUAGGGUGCAAGCGUUAAUCGGAAUUACUGGGCGUAAAGCGUGCGCAGGCGGUUCGGAAAGAAAGAUGUGAAAUCCCAGGGCUCAACCUUGGAACUGCAUUUUUAACUCCCGAACUAGAGUAUGUCAGAGGGGGGUGGAAUUCCACGUGUAGCAGUGAAAUGCGUAGAUAUGAGGAGGAACACCGAUGGCGAAGGCAGCCCCCUGGGAUAAUACUGACGCUCAGGCACGAAAGCGUGGGGAGCAAACAGGAUUAGAUACCCU
rnacentral:rRNA from 1 species